rnacentral:tRNA from 1 species
GCCCAGAUAGCUCAGUUGGUAGAGCAGCGCACUGAAAAUCCGCGUGUCGCUGGUUCGAUUCCGGCUCUGGGCA